rnacentral:siRNA from 1 species
AGUAAAGCUUGUCUGUAAGUGC